rnacentral:misc_RNA from 1 species
UGGUUCUGGCAUCGAUGAAGAACGCAGCGAAAUGCGAUAAGUAAUGCGAAUUGCAGAAUUCCGUGAGUCAUCGAAUCUUUGAACGCACAUUGCGCCCUUUGGUAUUCCGAAGGGCAUGCCUGUUCGAGCGUCAUUAACACCCCUCAAGCCUGGCUUGUUGUUGGACCUGGUAAAUUGUUUCGCCGGUCCCAAAGACAAUGGCGGGUCAACGGCUCCCCGGUACGCUGAGCUUUUCAAGCAUGUACCGUGGUGGUUUGUUGAUCUGGUCUUGAAAUUUCUCAAUGUUGACCUCGGAUCAGGUAGGAAUACCCGCUGA